UGAUGCAGCGCUAUCUGCCGGUGCUCGUCUUCCUCUACGUGCUACGUAGCAGCGCCCUCUGACGGUGGGACACGCCUGCGAUGAGUAGGCUAUCGCCGUCUUGUAGCCCUGGUCAGCAGCUGUUGCUCUGAUCAGGAAAAUAGACAUACAGAAAAACGUGGAGCUCAUCCUAAAGAAGCUAAGGCAACUGGUGCAUUAUGUCGGGCCUUAAAACGGCCAACCUACGCAUACUCGCGCGGUGCAGGCAACUCAGUUGCCUGACAUGGCAACUCCGUCGCCAUCCAUCUUGGGCCGGUGAGAGGAGGAGAGAAACUCACCCCGGGAGCUUCGUGAGUGUUAUGAGUGAGUUGGAGUUUGAGUGACAAACCCCAAAUUAAUUUAGCCAUGGCAGAUUGCUUUAAAAUCCUGAUUGACGACCUUCUUGGGUUUGGACACGGUCUGCUCGGGCCAGGAGUCCAGAGUAAAGCUCAGUAGGCAUCGCGCCCAUAGGUUAUAGCCAGUCACUUCACUCAGUGGCUGCUACCGCCGACGCGGAAGAAAAGAACCGCCAGCCUGGAUCGGAGGCGGGCACAACGAGGAGGAGCUCGACCUGCCCUGAUAGCCAGAACGGUACCUCGUCAGCCCAGGGCCUAUUCCACCCCCGGCGGCUCCGCAGACACACGGACCGCGGCGCAAACACAGGAGCAACGGAGGCGCGCGACCGACCCGGGUUUUUUCACACUCUGUGUUAUAUGUAUGUAUAUAUGUAUAUGUAUACAUAUGUAUAUGUGGCACGGUGUUGUUAUUGUACAAUGUACAUCCAGAUCCAUAACAAUAUUGAUGGCAUUCUGAUUGGGCAUACAAAUACUAGUACCUCUCCGACGUUCUUGCUCAUGUCUUUUUGUUUUGUUUUUUUUCUUUGAAUUUCUAUCUUUUUUCAUAGGAAACAAAAAAAAUGGACGCAAAAUUAUUGUUAUAGUAGUAUUCAAGUUGACCCAUUUUGCUUUUUAUGUUUGUUUAACUAUUUAUGUAUAUAGGAAUAUGCAAAACGUACACUUAAUAUAUUUUAUUUUUAGGUUUUUUUUGCUUUUUUUUUCCCCACGUUACUUCAUUAAGGUUUCCGUUACUAUAUAGUAAAUGCAGCUCUAAAACUUUGUAUUCUCUGACAUUGUUUAUUUUUUAAUUUCUGUGUGGGUAUUGUAUAUAGUCCUUAUGCCUGCUCAAUUACAUUUAAUAACAUUUCUAUAGAAAUAUUCAAAGCUGAGGUAGUUUUUUCAUUCAUUAUUCAUUUACUUUAGUUUAUGUUUAGUUUAGU